UUCCGGUUGAUCCUGCCGGACCUGACUGCUAUCGGAUUGAUACUAAGCCAUGCGAGUCUUUGCAGUAAUGCAAGGCAUACGGCUCAGUAACACGUAGUCAACUUACCCUAUGGACGAGGAUAAUCUCGGGAAACUGAGCAUAAUACUCGAUAGAUCAUAAUGCCUGGAAUGGUUUAUGGUUGAAAUGAUUCGUCGCCAUAGGAUGGGACUGCGGCCUAUCAGCUUGUUGGUGAGGUAAUGGCCCACCAAGGCGAUUACAGGUACGGGCUCUGAGAGGAGAAGCCCGGAGAUGGGUACUGAGACAAGGACCCAGGCCCUAUGGGGCGCAGCAGGCGAGAAAACUUUGCAAUGUGCGAAAGCACGACAAGGUUAAUCCGAGUGAUUUCUGCUAAAGAAAUCUUUUGCAAGUCAUAAAACCACUAGUGAAUAAGGGGUGGGCAAGUUCUGGUGUCAGCCGCCGCGGUAAAACCAGCACCUCAAGUGGUCAGGAGGAUUAUUGGGCCUAAAGCAUCCGUAGCCGGCUCUGUAAGUUUUCGGUUAAAUCCAUGUGCUCAACACAUGGGCUGCCGAAAAUACUGCAUAGCUAGGGAGUGGGAGAGGUAGACGGUACUCGGUAGGAAGGGGUAAAAUCCUUUGAUCUAUCGAUGACCACCUGUGGCGAAGGCGGUCUACCAGAACACGUUCGACGGUGAGGGAUGAAAGCUGGGGGAGCAAACCGGAUUAGAUACCCGGGUAGUCCCAGCUGUAAACGAUGCAGACUCGAUGAUGCAUUGGCAUAUAGCCAGUGCAGUGUCGCAGGGAAGCCGUUAAGUCUGCCGCCUGGGAAGUACGUACGCAAGUAUGAAACUUAAAGGAAUUGGCGGGGGAGCACCACAAGGGGUGAAGCCUGCGGUUCAAUUGGAUUCAACGCCGG
rnacentral:rRNA from 1 species